rnacentral:rRNA from 1 species
UACGUAGGGACCAAGCGUUGUUCGGAUUUACUGGGCGUAAAGGGCGCGUAGGCGGCAAUUCAAGUCAGUUGUGAAAUCUCCGAGCUUAACUCGGAACGGUCAACUGAUACUGUUUUGCUAGAGUACAGAAGGGGCAAUCGGAAUUCUUGGUGUAGCGGUGAAAUGCGUAGAUAUCAAGAGGAACACCUGAGGUGAAGACGGGUUGCUGGGCUGAUACUGACGCUGAGGCGCGAAAGCGUGGGGAGCGAACAGG